rnacentral:rRNA from 1 species
CCGAGUUUACAACUCCCAAACCCAAUGUGAACGUUACCAAACUGUUGCCUCGGCGGGAUCUUCUGCCCCGGGUGCGUCGCAGCCCCGGACCAAGGCGCCCGCCGGAGGACCAACCUAAAACUCUUAUUGUAUACCCCCUCGCGGGUUUUUUUAUAAUCUGAGCCUUCUCGGCGCCUCUCGUAGGCGUUUCGAAAAUGAAUCAAAACUUUCAACAACGGAUCUCUUGGUUCUGGCAUCGAUGAAGAACGCAGCGAAAUGCGAUAAGUAAUGUGAAUUGCAGAAUUCAGUGAAUCAUCGAAUCUUUGAACGCACAUUGCGCCCGCCAGUAUUCUGGCGGGCAUGCCUGUCCGAGCGUCAUUUCAACCCUCGAACCCCUCCGGGGGGUCGGCGUUGGGGAUCGGCCUCCCUCACCGGGGGCCGUCUCCGAAAUACAGUGGCGGUCUCGCCGCAGCCUCUCCUGCGCAGUAGUUUGCACACUCGCAUCGGGAGCGCGGCGCGUCCACAGCCGUUAAACACCCCAAAUUUCUGAAAUGUUGACCUCGGAUCAGGUAGGAAUACCCGCUGAACUUAAGCAUAUCUAA